rnacentral:rRNA from 1 species
UGGGGAAUAUUGGACAAUGGGCGCAAGCCUGAUCCAGCAACGCCGCGUGUGUGAAGAAGGCCUUCGGGUUGUAAAGCACUUUUAUCAGGAGCGAAACGCUGUCGGCUAAUACCCGGCGGAACUGACGGUACCUGAGGAAUAAGCACCGGCUAACUUCGUGCCAGCAGCCGCGGUAAUACGAAGGGUGCAAGCGUUAAUCGGAAUUACUGGGCGUAAAGCGUGCGUAGGCGGUUUCUUAAGUCUGCUGUGAAAUCCCCGGGCUCAACCUGGGAAUGGCAGUGGAUACUGGGAGGCUAGAGUGUGUCAGAGGGUGGUGGAAUUCCCGGUGUAGCGGUGAAAUGCGUAGAGAUCGGGAGGAACAUCAGUGGCGAAGGCGGCCACCUGGGACAACACUGACGCUGAGGCACGAAAGCGUGGGGAGCAAACAGGAUUAGAUACCCUGGUAGUCCACGCCCUAAACGAUGCGAACUGGAUGUUGGUCUCAACUCGGAGAUCAGUGUCGAAGCUAACGCGUUAAGUUCGCCGCCUGGGGAGUACGGU